UUAAAGAAUAUCUGUUUGUCACUUCCGGCUGGAUCUACCAUGAAAGACAUCAGAGUUCAGGAGGAGACUUGGCAUCAUGUUAUUCAGUAGAGAUGGGGUUUCACCAUGUUGACCAGGAUGGUCUCGAUCUUCUGACCUCGUGAUCCAACUGCCUCAAGUCAAGCUCUACAGGCCCACUUUGAGCCUUCCGACGACCUGGACAGACCCAGCUCUUUCCUCCCAGUGGCCUCUGCAGGCCUAGCUUUUGCCUCACAGGUAUUCCUUGAACAGGUUUCUGCUUGCCUCCUGGUAGCCUUGAGAAGCCCAGGUGUUGCCUCACUCUAACCUCAUUAGGACCAGGUCACAGUGGCCUCUCCAGACCCAGCAUCUGUCCCCUGACAGGCUGUCCAGGCCAAAACGUCUUCUAGUCACCGUCUUCAGGCACAGCUUCUGUCUCACACUGGACUCUUUAGGUACAGCUCAUGCCUUUCGGCGGCCCCUUGAGGCCCAGUUCCUGUAUCUCUGUGGCCUCUCCGGACUGAGAGAUUUCUCAAAUCUGCCAUUCCAGGUCCAACUCCUGCUUCCAGUCGGCCCCAAUAGGCUUAAACUCUGCCUCACAGCAGACACCCCAGGCCAAGCGUAUGCCUCACCACAGUGCCCCCAGGCCAAGCUUCUGCCUCGGCAGCAUCUGCAGGCCCAGCUACUGCCUCCCAAUGGCCUGUCUAGGUGAAGCUCAUGCAUCACAACGGCCAUUCUGAUCAAGCUUUUACUUUUUGGCAGCGUCUCCAGGCCCAGAACUUCCUGAAGUGGGCCCUCCCAUGCCCAGCAUUGGCCUGCUGGCAUCCUCUCUGGGCCCAGAACGUCUUCAGGUAGGCCUUUUGGGGCCCAGCUCCUCCUCUCAGCUGUGUCUACGGGCUCAGCUUUUGAAUUUGCCUCACAGCAACCUCUGGGGACUCGGUUCCUCCCCAGCUUCUGGUGUCCUUUAUAGGCCCGAAAGCUCAGGCUCUCCAGGCCCUCCCAGCUCAUGUCUCACGCUGGCCUCUCCAGGCUCGGCUCCUGCCCUCCCAGGGCAUCUCCAGGCCUCAGACGUUCCCGAGUCGGCUUCUGCUGGCCCGGCUCCUGCUGCCUCAUCAUGCUGGCCUCGGGAGGCCCAAGCAUUGGGUCCUGAAGUUUAUCUCUGCAGGCCCAGCUUCUGCCUUCCCGGCAGCCCCCCAACAUGGGCUCCUCCAGGGCAAGCUCCUGCCUCCCAACGGCCACCUGGGACACAGCUCCUGCCUUCUGUCAGCCUCUUCGGGAGGCCCAGCCUCUGCCUCCCUACUGCCGGCCCCCACACACCCGGAUCAUCAUCCUGGCUGCGUCUAUCUGCCAAUGUUUUGCCCCCUGGCGGCCUCUUUUGACUCGGCGCCUGGCCACCUCCCGACGGCCUCUCGUCUGUCGGCCCGAAGCUUCCUCGGGGAUUUCGGGGUGUCCCUUCUGCCUCCCGGUGGCCUAGACAGGCCCAGCUACAUCCUGACAUCGGCCUCUCCAUGCCCACUUCUGGCCUCCCUACAGCACCCCCAGCACCAUCCACUGUGUGCCGGCCGCUUUCCCAGGCCAAGAUCCUGCCUACCUCCCGACUUCGUCCACAAACCCAGCGCCUCCCUCACACUGGCCAGUUGAGGCCCAGCUUGGCCUGUAGCACAUGUCUCUGGACCCAGAUCUCACCUGGUGCUGGCCUUGAGUCUGAGCCCAGGUCCUCCCUCGCACCGGCCUUUCUCGGCCCAGCUCGCCUCUCAUAAACUCUCCGGCCAGCUCCUGCCUCCCAGCGGCCUGUCCAGGCCCGAAGCUUCCUCUCCGGGCCCAGCCUCUCCAGGCCUGGCUCCUGCCUGCGCUAGGCCCCUCUGGGCCCAGCCUCCACCUAACAGUGGACCCUCCAGACCCAGCUUAUGGCCUCAUCGUGGUCUGCGCUCAGCCCAGAUCCUGCCUCUGUGGCAGCCUGUCUCCACAGGCCCAGCUCCUGGCCUCCUGGUGGCCCCCUCGGGCCAAACCGGUGCCCCCAGGCGGCCCUCUGUGCCUAGCGGUGGCCUUCUGGCAUCCUCUCCUUGUCCAGAACGUCAGCCUCUUUGGUCCCAGCCCCUCCUUCUGGCAGCUUGUUAGGGCCAACCUUUUGUCCUCGCCUCGCAGCAACCUCUGUUGCUCGGCUCCUCCCUAGCUCCUGGAGGCCUCUGUAGGACCAAAAGCUCAGGCCCUCGAUUCAGGCUUUCCAGGACUACCCAGCUCAUGCCUCAUGCUGGCCUCUCCAGGCUCAGGUUUUGCCCACCCAGGGUUCCUAUAGGCCCCAGAUGUCCCAGAGUCGGCUUCUUCAGGCCCGGUUUUGGACUCCUCCUAUUGGCUUCUGCAGGCCUAAGCAUUGGGUUCUUAAUUUGGCCUCUGCAGGCCCAGCUCCAGUUCUACUGGUGUCUCCUCCCCAUGGGUGCAAACGUCAUCAUGUGGUUUCUUCUAGGGCCAGCUCAUGCUUCCCAAAGGCCCCCUGGGCUUAGCUCCUGCCUCCCAUCAGCCUCUCCUUAAGGCCUAGCAUCUGCCUCGGUACUGGUGGCCUCUCAAGGCCUGGAUCCUCCUCCUGGCCACGUCUACGGGCCCAAGUUUUGCUCCCGGCAGCCUUUUUUUUUUUUUUUUUUUUUUUUUAAAGAGAUGGAGUUUUGCUCUUGUUUCCCAGGUGUGGGUACAAUGACGUGAUCUCCGUUCACCUCAACCUCCGCCUUUUGGGUUUAGGCAAUUCUCCUGCCUCAGCCUCCUGAGUAGCUGGAGUUACAGGCACACGCCACCAUACCCAGCUAAUUUCUUUUUCUUUUUUUUUUUGAGACAGAGUUUCGCUCUUGUUACCCAGGCUGGAGUAGAAUGGUGCGAUCUAGGCUCACGGCAACCUCUGCCUCCUGGGUUCAGGCAAUUCUCCUGCCUCAGCCUCCUGAGUCGCUGGGAUUACAGGCACCUGCCACCGUGCCCAGCUAUUUUUUUUUUUUUUUUUUUUGAGACGGAGUUUUGCUCUUGUUGCCCAGGCUGGAGUGCAAUGGCGCGAUCUCGGCUCACCGCAACCUCCGCCUCCUGGGUUCAGGCAAUUCUCCUGCCUCAGCCUGCUGAGUAACUGGGAUUACAGGCACGCACCACCGUGGCCAACUAAUUGUUUUUUUUCUUUUUGAGAUGGAGUUUUGCUCUUGCUGCCCAGGCUGGAGUGCAGUGGCAGGAUCUCGGCUCACUGCAACCUCUCCCUUCUCGGUUCAGGCAAUUCUCCUGCCUCAGCCUGCUGAGUAGCUGGGAUGACAGGCACGCACCACCAUGCCCAGCUAAUUUUUUGUAUUUAUAGUAGAGACGGGGUUUCACCAUGUUGACCAGGAUGGUCUCAAUUUCCUGACCUCAUGAUCCACCCGCCUCGGCCUCCCAACGUGUUGGGAUUACAGGCGUGAGCUACUGUGCCUGGUCCCCAGCAGCGUCUUUCGGCUCGGCUCCUGGCCAGCGCCCGGAGGCCUUUUGUCUGUCGGCCCAAAGCUUCCUCAGUGUCCCUUCUGUUGAGGCCACUGGGAGGCAGAAGGGACGCCCGGAAGGCCCCACCUGAGGAAGCUUUGGGCCAACAGACGAAAGGCCUCUGGGAGCUGGCCAGGAGUCGAGCCAAAAGAGGCUGCCAGGGGCAAAACUUGGGCCGGUAGACGUGGCCAGGAGGAGGUGCUAGGCCUGGUGUGGCUGCCAGUAGGGAGGCAGAGGCUGGGGCUCCUGGAGAGGCCACCUGAUGGGAAUCAGGACCUGGGUUCCAGGGGCCACUGGGAUGCCGGAGCUGGCCCCGGAGGGGACCAUGUGAUGAUGUAUUGUGCCCAGGUUGGGGGGUGCCGCCGGAAGGGCAGGAGCUGGACCUGCAGACGCAGACUUCAUGACCCAAUGAUUGGGCCUCCCAAGGCCAGUGGGAGGACAAAGCAGGACUGGGCCUCAGGGCCGAGCUUUGGAGUCCCCCCAGCCUCCCCAGCCCCAGCUGCUGCCUGCUGGCUGCUUCCGCAGGCCAAGAUCCUGCCUGCCUGCCUGCAUCCCGGCUGCAUCCACAGGCCCAGCGCCUCCCUCACACUGGCCAGUUGAGGCUCAAGUCAUGCCUUUGCCGGACGUCUCUGGAGCCAGCUCUCACUUGGUGCUGGCCUUGAGUCUGGACACAGGCCCUCCCUCGCACCGGCCUCUCUUGGCCCAGCUCACCUCUCAUAAAUUCUCCGCCAGCUCCUGCCUCCCAGCGGCCUGUCCAGGCCUGAAGCUUCCUCUCUGGGCCCCGCCUAUCCAGGCCUGGCUUUUGCCUGUGCUAGGCCCCUCCAGGCCCAGCCUCCACCUCUCAGUGGACCCUCCAGACCCAGCUUGUGGCUUCAUUGUGGCCUCCGCUCAGCCCAGCUCCUGCCUCUGUGGCAGCCUGUCUUCACAGGCCCAGCUUGUAGCCUCCCGGUGGCUCCCUUGGGCCAAACUGGUGCCCCCAGGCAGCCCUUCCAUGCCCAGCAUUGGCCUCCUGGCAUCGUCUCCUUGUCAGAGUGUCUUCAGGUCAGCCUCUUGGGGCCCAGGCCCUCCUUCCGGCGGCUUCUAAGGGCCAACCUUCCAUUCUCGCCUCGCAGCAACCUCUGUGGACUCGGCUCCUCCCCAGCUCCCGGAGGCCUUUGUAGGCCCGAAAGCUCAGGCCCUCGACUCAGGCUCUCCAAGACUACCCAGGUCAUGCCUCACGCUGGCCUCCAGGCUCAGCUUCUGCCCAGCCAGGGUUCCCAUAGGCCCCAGAUGUCCCAGAGUCGGCUUCUCCAGGCCCGGGUCCAGACUCCUCCUGUUGGCUUCUGCAGGCUCAAGCAUUGGGUUCUCAAUUCGGCCUCUCCAGGCCCAGCUCCAGUUCUCCUGGCAUCUCCUCCCCAUGGGUGCAAAACAUUGUCACAUGGGCCCUUCUAGGGCCAGCUCAUGCUUCCCAAAGGCCCCCUGGGCUUAGCUCCUGCCUCCCAUCAGCCUCUCCUGGAGCCCCGUCCUCUGCCUCUGUACUGGCGGCCUCUCCAGGCCUGGAUCCUCCUCUUGGCCUUGUCUACGGGCCGAAGUUUUGCCCCUGGCAGCCUCUUUUUUUUUUUUCUUUUGAGAUGGAGUUUUUCUCUUGUUACCCAGGCGUGAGUGCAGUGACCUGAUCUCGGCUCACCUCAACUUUUGCCUCUUGGGUUUAGGCAGUUCUCCUGCCUCAGCCUCCUGAGUAGCUGGGAUUACAGGCAUGCACCACCAUGCCCAGCUAAUUUUCUUUUUUUUUUUUUGAGACCUAUUUUUGCUCUCGUUACCCAGGCUGGAGUAGAAUGGUGUGAUCUCGGCUCACCACAACCUCCGCCUUUUGGGCUCAGGCAAUUCUCCUUCCUCAGCCUCCUGAGUAGCUGGGAUUACAGGCACGUGCCACCGUGCCCAGCUAAUUUUUUUUUUUUUUUUUGAGAUGGAGUUUUACUCUUGUUGCCCAGGCUGGAGUGCAAUGGCACUAUCUCGGUUCACCGCAAUGUCCGCCUCCUGGGUUCAGGCAAUUCUCCUGCCUCAGCCUCCUCAGUAGCUGGGAUUACAGGCAUGCACCACCAUGCCCAGCUAAUUUUUUUUUUUUUGAGGUGGAGUUUUGCUCUUAUUGCCCAGGCUGGAGUGCAAUGGCACAAUCUCAGUUCACCACAAUGUCCGCCUCCUGGGUUCAGGCAAUUCUCCUGCCUCAGCCUCCUGAGCAGCUGGGAUUACAGGCACACACCACCAUGCCCAGUUAAUUUUUUGUACUUUUAGUUGAGACAGGGUUUCACCACGUUGACCAGGAUGGUCUCGAUCUCCUGACCUCGUGAUCCACCCAUCUCGGCCUCCCAAAGUGCUGGGAUUACAGGCGUGAGCCACUGCACCUGGUCCCCAGCAGCGUCUUUUGGCUCGGCUCCUGGCCAUCUCCUGGAGGCCUUUCAUCUGUCGGCCCAAAGCUUCCUCAGGUGGCACCUUUCGGGCGUCCCUUCUGCCUCCCAGUGGCCUCAACAGAAGAGACACCUAGAAGGCCCCACCUGAGGAAGCUUCGGGUCGACAGACGAAAGGCCGAGCCAAAAGAGGCUGCCUGGCUCAAAACUUGGGCCGGUUGAUGUGGCCAGGAGAAGGUUCAGGCCUGGUGAGGCUGCCAGUAGGGAGGCACAGGCUGGGCCUCCUGGAGUGACAGCCUGAUGGGAACAGGACCUGGGCCCCGUGGGGCCACUGGGAUGCAGGACCUAGCCUCGGAGGGGACCACGUGAUGAUGUAUUGCACCCACGUUGGGGGGUGCCGCCGGGAGGGCAGGAGCUGGACCUGCAGACGCGGACUUCAUGACCCAAUGCUUGGGCCUCCCGAGGCCAGCGGGAGGACAAAGCAGGACUGGGCCUCAGGGCCGAGCUCUGGAGUCCCCGCAGCCUCCCCAGCCCCAGCUGCUGCCUGCUGGCUGCUUCCGCAGGCCAAGGUCUUGCCUACCUGCAUCCUGGCUGCAUCCGCAGGCCCCGUGCCUCCCUCACACUGGCCCGUUGGGGCCCAGCUUGUGCCUGUGGCAAACCUCUCCGGACCCAACUCUCACCUCACACUUGCCUCGAGUCUAGGCCCAGGUCCUCCCUCACAGUGCCCUUCUUCAGCCCAGCUUGCCUAUCACGGUCUCUCCUGGGCCAGCUUCUGCCUCACGGUGGCCUGUUCAGGCCCAAAGCUUCUUAUCCGAGCCAGGCCUCUUCAGGAGGCCCAAAGCUUCUGCCUGCACCAGGACAUUCUGGGCCCAGUCUCCAUUUUUCAGUGGACCCUCCAGGCCCAGCUUGUGGCAUCACAGUGGCCUCUGCUCAGGCUCAGCUCCUGCCUCUGCGGCAACCUGUAUCCACAGGCCCGGUGGCACUCCCGGGCCCAGCGUUUGCCUGGUGGCAUCCUCUCUGGGCUUAGAACGUCUUCAGGUAGGCCUCUCGGGGCCCAGCACCUCCUCUCGGCAGCAUCUAUGGGCCCAACUUCUGAAUUUGCCUCACAGCAACCUCUGUGGACUCAGCUCUUGCCCAGCUCCCGAUGGCGUUUGUAGGCCCAAAAGCUCAGACUUGACUCAGGCUCUCCCGGCCCACCUGGCUCAUGCCUCACAAGUGGCCUCUCCGGGCUUGGCUCCUGCCCUCUGAGGGCAUCUCCAGGCCCUAGACAUUCCCGAGUCAGCUUCUGCAGGCCCGGCUCCUGCUGCCUCCUCCUGCUGGUCUUGGGAGGCCCAAGCAUCGAAUCCUGAAGUCAGCCUCUCCAGGCCCAGUUCCUGCCCUCAUGGCGUCUCCUUUUCAUGGGUGGAAAACAUCCUCACAUCGGUGCCUCCAGGGCCAGCUGUUGCCUCCCAACGGCCCCCUGGGGCCCAGCUUCUACCUCCCCUCAGCCUCUGGGAGGUCCAGCCUAUGCCUCCCUUGUGGCGGCCUCCCCAGGCCCAGAUUCUCCACCUGGCCUCAUCUACUGGACCACGUCGUGCCUCCCGGCAGCUGCUUUUUGCUCGGCUCCUGAUCAGCUUCCAGCAACCUUCUGUAGGCCUGAAGCUUUCUCAAGUGGGGCUUUCUGGGCCUCCGUUCUGCCUCGCGGUGGCCUUGACAGGCCCUGCUACCACCUGACAUUGGCCCCUUUUGGCCCAGCUCUGGACUCUCCGCAGCCUCCCCAGCACCAGCUGCUGCCUGCUGAUGGCUUCCCCAGACGAAGAUCCUGCCUGCCUGCAUUCUGGCUGCGUCCACAGGCCCAGCGCUUCCCUCACAGUGGCUCAUUGGAGCCCAGCACUUUCCUCACAGUGGCUCAUUGGAGCCCAGCAUUUUCCUCACAGUGGCUCAUUGGAGCCCAGCACUUUCCUCACAGUGGCUCAUUGGAGCCCAGCACUUCCCUCACAGUGGCUCGUUGGAGCCCAGUGCUUUUCUUACAGUGGCUCAUUGGAGCCCAGUGCUUUUUUUACAGUGGCUCAUUGGAGCCCAGCGCUUCCCUCACAGUGGCUCAUUGGAGCCCAGCGCUUCCCUCACAGUGGCUCAUUGGGGCCCAGCUCAUGCCUGUGGCAAACCUCUCCAGACCCAGCUCUCGUCUCACUUUUGCCUUGAGUCUAGGCCCAGGCGCUCCCUCGCAGGGGUCUUCCUCAGCCCAGCUUGCCUAUCAGACUCUCCCGGGCCAGCUCCUGCCUCCCGGUGUCCUGUCCAGGCCCAAAGCUUCCUUUCCGUGCCCGGCCUCCCCAGGCCCAGCUUCUGCCUGCGCCAGGCCCAUACCGGGCCCAGCCUGUGACUUUCAUUGGACCCUCCAGGCCCAGCUUGUGGCAUCACUGUGGCCUCUGCUUAGGCCCAGCACCUGCCUGUGGCAGCCUGUAUCCACAGGCCCCACCCCCAGCCUUCCUGUGGCCCCAUGGGGCCAAGCUGAUGCCUCCCGACGGCCCUCCCGGGCCCAGCAUUUGCCUGCUGGUAUCCUCUCUUGGCCCAGAACGUCUUCAGCUGUGGCAUGAAGCUGAACGUGGACUACCUGCUGGAGAUGCUUUGGGAGUACUUGGUCCUGACCUGCAUCUACACCAGGAAGAGAGGAUAGAGGCCGGACUUCACAGAUGCCAUCAUCCUCCGGAAAGGGGCCUCAGUGGAGCACGUGGUGUUGUUUUCCUCAAGCUGAUUUCUUCUUGGGAUCUGUAUCAUGGAAGCAAGAGACACUGUUCCUCUAGCCCCUUAUGAUAGUGGUGGCUGGGCUUGCAAUCUGGUCUCAUGCAUUCAUUCCUUCUGAAAGCCCAGCCCCAGGUCUCUGGGUGCCACCCUGGAGGUGUUGAACAAAUGAGGCCACGCAAAGUCCCAUCUCUCUAAGACCUAGGCUUGAGAUCACAGCAGGAGGAGCCAAGAAGACUCACGAUUACCCUCCUGAAUCCCUUCAGACACUCCCAAGUGGCAAGCUGAGUAAAAUUGCCCCGGCAUCCACCAGUCACUCACCAGCGAGUUCAAGUAUGCCCUGGUGUGGGGCACCAUCACCAAGUACAAUCCACAGCAGGUGGGUCUGACCCACACCACGGAGCAUGAGGAGGUCAUCCAGAUCGUGAAGAAGUAAUGGCACCUGCGAGGCCUCCCGCCUACCUGUCUCAUCUCCCUGGGGGCAUCGGUCCUACUGGGAUACACAAACACCUUGGGUCCUCCACUCAAGGCUCUCCAGGAUUGGAAGCAGAGCUUAGUGGCUUCAAAGGCCCAGCUGACACCCUCCACAGCCUAAGGGGUGUCCUAAAGUGCCUCCGUCUUUUUGACCCUCCCAGGGCAGCCCCUGCGCAGCACAAAACCCCCAGACCCUGGGUCUACACACCUGGGCCAGGGACUUUUGAGUUUAGAAUCUGUUUUCUAAGUCCCCAAUUCUUCUGGCUCUCCUUUCUGAAAUAAAGGAUUGAAAACCAUUCCUGUCCAGACUGAGAACACUUUGUAACCUUGCUGAACAGUAGCCAGGUUGAGUCAGGUGGGCACAGCUCAAGCAUUGAAGGUAGCAGUGGGCCUGGGAGUUUAAGAGGGUGGAGCCUGGAUCCCCAGGGCAGCCCCAGGCCAUGGGUGGCAAGGAGAAUGCAGGGUUCCUCAUCCAGGCACGGGCAGGCUCUGCCCAGGGAGCUGGUCAUGGGUGUCACGCCCAGACUGGCCCCUCCAGAGGGGCCUGGCUGCCAAGGUGGGCAGUAUCCCAGGAGGCCUUUGUGACCAUCUGGGUGGCAGGAAGGCUCCCCCAUGAGAACAAGGUGGCUGACCAUUUCCUGUUGCCUCAGAAGCCAGGAGCAGAGGGGCUGGCAGGGGCUCAUUGAGUACCUACAAUGUGCCAGGGACAGUGCCGGCCCCUCACGGUAUUCUACUGUCCCUUGGAAGCUGGUGCAGGUUGAACAGUUUUUGAAUGCAGAGCCUAGAUGUAAGACCUGUGAGCAGCAGCGAAGGCUUCCUGGAGGAGGUGUGCCUUUUUGGAGGGAUGCAGCAGGUUCUGUGAGGCUGUCAGGAGAGGUAGAGAGCUCCAGGGGGCCUCAGGCCCAGCUGGAGUAUGGAGCAGGCCCAGGCCCAGGUCCUGGGCUGUUUGCAGCUCCGCUGUCAGCUGCUCAGUCCUUUCCAGAGACAAAACAGGAAUAAUAGACAUCAUUAAAUAUACAUGUGGCUGGGGCCCCAGGCAGUUGACCUGGUGGGCCGGGCCUCCCUUCCCCAUAACACCGAGCUGCUCUGCUGGGCUGAUCGUGCUCCUGGGCCAGCCAGAGGACCCCCAUGAGGCAGCAUGCAGGCUAGGAGCAGGCCACGGGACCCAGAUAAGGGGUCCCUAGCCUAGAGUCCUUGGGGUUGGCCACUAGCUACCCUCCCAUCUCAGACUGCAGGAGCAGCAGCAGAGCUGGGGCCUUGCCCCAACUCACCUCGAGGCCCUUCGCUGCCUCACUUUGUUCAUCUGUGAGGGGUGUGAUGCCCAUGCAGCCCCCUCCUGGUGAUGGUGGGAUAGCAAGACAGGCAAGGGCUCCUUGGCCCCUCUCCCAACAGCCCUGAUGCCUGGCCAUGAGGCCCUAAGUGAGGGUUUCUACCUGGGUGGUGGCCAUUCCCACUUCCACUUUACAGGCAAGGGCUCUGGCCCUGGGUGAGGUGGGGAAGGCCUUGAGUUCACACAGUGUCAGGCUGAGUCUGGGCCUUGGGUUAGAUCCAGGCCUGUUCUGUCCCCCUGGCUGGCUGACAAAAGGGGGCAAACGAGGCCAGAGGCUGGGGGGUCCUCAGGCAGUGAGGGCUCGGGUGAGUGGCUCCUGCCACUGGGCAUGUUCCUGGGCUAGGUCUGUUGUGCGUGGGGGUCAGGCAGGCACUACAGCUCUGUUGUGUCCUGGGCUUUCUGGAUCUGUGGGCAGGAUGGUUGUAUGGUCUACAUUUGCAUGUGAGAGUGAGCGAGAGAUCAUGCAACUGUGUAUGCCCAGGUCAGUGUGAAGUGUAGUUCGUGGUGCCCUUAGGGCUGGGGAAGCUCCCUAAGACCCCCUCAAAGGUCCCAGACCCCUCCCCCAACCGGGGCGGGCUCCAGGCUUGGGCCUCACCCUGUCAGCCACCUUGUUCUCAUCACUCAUGCUCCCUGGCAAUCACAGGCAGGGGUCUGCACCCUCACCCAGGCCAUGCCCAGGCAGCAGAGCUGCACUCAGCUCCCAGCUGGCAUCCCUGCAGCCUCCCAGGGGUCAUCUGCCCGCAGCUUUAGAAGACUCAGGUACAAAGGAGCCAAAGAAAUGCAUAUUAUUCUGUCCCAUGCUUGUGCAUUCUCUCAUUCUCCAUCUUUCUUCCUCUCCAGCUUAGAUUCCAGUUUUUUGUUCCAGAACCCUCCUUUGGCAAGCAAGAAAGCCAAGUCGAGAGCCUCUGCUUCCCACUCUGUCCUUCUCCUAGACAGCUCAUCCCACCUCCAGCCUCCGUCUCACCAGACCUGGGUCCGAGCAGCCUUUUUGACUCUCCACUGCACUGUCCCAUAGCCAUCCAAACGCUCCGUGUCCCAGACCAAACAUGGCGUUCCCACCCCACCCAGCCUCACCUCAGAGACACUCUGUGCACCCUCCAGCUGCACCAACCCAACCCCAAGUUCACCUGGCUCCCCCCUCAUCCCAGCCCCAUCUAGCCCCUCACCAGGGCCAGCAUGUUUUACCUCAUCCUGAAUGUGCCCACUGGACUCCAUCACAGCAUGGUCCCAGCCACACCACUGUCCCCGCUCCACUCUUUUCACAUGGUGGCCUGAGCUGCCUUUUCUCCUGCUUCCUAAGAAGCCAUGUGAGCCAGUGGUUGAGACCGUGGACACUCUGGAGCCAGACUGCCCAGGCUCAACUCCACCUACAAGCUCUGUGGGCCCAUGUCCUCCUCUGCAAAGUGGGAAGAAUAAUCACACCCACUUCAGGAGGUUGUAGUGAGUUGAGUUCUGUGUGGCCUGGCAGUUCUGAACACAGGCCUUGCCGUCACAGGUCCCAUUGCUUCCUCACUGUGGGCUCUCCGCUGAGGGAUCUAACCUGAGAUCAAGCCCUUCAUCUAUAAAAUGUGAAGAACAGUUGCUGUCCUACUUAUGUGAGAAUCUAGUGUGAUACUUCAGAAAAGCAUUUAGCACCAAGCCUGGCACACAGUAAACAUCUGGAAAUGUGGAACAGUGACCAAAGUCCCAUCCCUUUUAUGUUUGAUUGGGCUAGUCCCUGCCUGCCACCCUGGACACCUCUCAUUUCACAUGCCCUCAAUCACUCUGCUCUAGCCAUAGACUGUCCCUGAAGCCCCUCUUACUACCUGGCAUUUGCACAUGCUGUUCCACUUGCCAGCAAUACUGUUCCCUCUUCCAUGUGAUCAGCUCCCUCUUAUCCUUAUCUUGGUUCAGGGUUACCUUGUCAGGAGAAUCUUCCUGGACCUCCAAUGCAGUGUUCGCCCAUCUGGGGUCAUGCCCUGACCUUCACAGCUCUUCUUAUUGGUGUGACUCUUUGUUUAAAGCCUGCAUCCAGGAUAGGCAUGGUGGUUCAUACCUGUAAUCCCAACACUGGUAGGCUGAGGCAGGAGUAGUGCUUGGGGGCAAGGCGUUCAAGACCAGCCUGGGCAACUUAAUGGGACCCUGUCUCUAGAAAAACUGAAAGCAAUAGCCAGGUGUGGUGGCACACACCUGUGGUCUCAGCUGCUCGGGCAGCUGAGGUGGGAGGAUUGCGUGAGCCUGAGAGCUCAAGGCUGCAGUGAGCUGUGAUUAUGUUACUGCACUCCAGCCUAAGCGACGGAACAAGACCCUGUCUCAAAAAACAAAAACAGAAAACAAAGUCUGUGUCCCCUACAACGCAGGGAACUUCAUGAGAGCAGAGAUCAGGUUGGCUUUCACUCCACUCUGCCAACCCUGAGUGCCCUGCAUAGUGCUUGGCACAUAACACAUGCACAACUAAUGCACAGCUAAUAUUUAAAGAAUCAAUAAAUGAGAGACUAGUAGCCUGACACCCGCUCUGUGCCUGCACAGAGGUCAGGGACCCUGAGAGGGAGGCAGGACCUGGAACCUACCAGAGAAGGGGCAACCUCAGCUGACUUCUUGCCCGAGGCCCCAGAGACCAAGAGGGGUCAGGUGGGCAGGACUUGCUGCCAGCAGUCACCCAGACCACCUCACUCAGAGCAGACAGGCAGAGGCCUGUAGCAACGAUGUUGGCAGUCAUAACAGCUGCUUACCCAGGCCAGCCACUGUGCCCGGCUCUCCACCAUUUCAUGUAAUGCCCAGGCCAGCCUUGGUAGGGGAGGUAUCUACACUCACGGAUGAGGAGACUAAUGCUGAGGCUGCAUGACUUGCUAUGGGUCAGAUCCAAGUGAGGAAUGAGACCUGACCCAGAGCUCUGAGCCGCGGGCCUCCUCAUCCCCUGGGCUAGAGCUGGGCUUGCCUCUCCGAGUGGCAGGUCUUCAUCUGGACAAUGGGGUUUUGCAGGGGAAAGAUGCCUGCCUGCGGGCUUGAGGCAUGACUUGGGCAAGUCCCUAGACAAUGGUGGCCUCUCAGCCUUUCUUUCUUUUUUCUUUUUUUUUUUUUUUAGGAGAAAGAGAAUAAUAUUUAUUGGGCAUGCCAUACACCAAGUUAGAUUUUUUUUUAUUAUUAAUAGCACCAGUAUCUCUGAACCUGAUUUAUUUUUUUAUCUUUUUAUUGCAUUUUAGGUUUUGGGGUACAUGUGCAGAACAUGCAAGACAUCUGCAUAGGUACACACAUGGCAGUGUGUUUUGCUGCCUUCCUCCCCUUCACCCACAUUUGGCAUUCCUCUCAGCCUUUCUUCUGGACAGACAAGGCUCCCUGCUUGGGGCAGACAGAAAGUAUGGCUCUGGGAGGUGCUCCUGGUUCUGAAGAGCCAGCCCUGCCCCACUUGUCCCCAGCAAGUCUUCUGACCUCUCUCUGCCUCACUUUCAACAAAUGUUACGUGGCUGUGGGGGUGGAGUUGGAUCUGGGACAUCUCAGGCCCUGACAUUCUUCCUGAGAGCCUGUCUAAAGUGGUGUUUCCACUCACUGUCUCCAAUUUCUUUUUUUCCAUUUUCACAUUUACAGUGUUGUGGUGGGUGGGGACAGUGUCUCGCUCUGUCUCUCAGGCUGGAGUACAGUGGCGCAACCUCGCCUCCCGGCACCCUCCACCUCCCGGGUUUAAGUGAUUCUCCUGCCUCAGCCACCACACUGUGCACGCCUUUAGCUGGGAUUACAGGUGUGCACCACCACACCCAGCUGAGUUUUGUAUUUUUUAGUAGAGAUGGAGUUUCGCCAUGUCGGCCAGGCUGGUCUUGAGUUCCUAGCUUCAAGUGAUCCACCUGCCUCGGCCUCCCAAAGUGCUUGGACUACAGGUGAGAACCUCCAUGCCCAGCCCACAUUUAUACUUUUAAAUGUGACAUUUUUGUUUGUUUUUUGACUCAGAAAUGCACUGAUAUGGAUCAAAAAUCAAACUAAUGUAGAAAGAUUUAUAGGGAGAUAACCAUUCUCAUUAAUUUCUUGUGUAGCUUUUGUUGUAUUUUUUUUUGAGACAGAGUCACUCUGUCACUCGAGCUGGAGUGCAGUGGCAUAAUCUCAGCUCACUACAACCUCCGCCUCCUGGGUUCAAGCAAUUCUUAUGGCUCAGCCUCCUGAGUAGCUGGAACUACAGACACACACCAUCAUGCCUGGCUAAAUUUUGUAUUUUAGUAGAGACGGGGUUUCAUCGUGUUGCCCAGGCUGGUUUCAAACUCCUGAGCUCUGGCAAUUUGCCCACCUCAGCCUCCCAAAGUGCUAGGAUUAUGGGCUUGAGCCUCCACACCCAGCGCUGAAUUUCUUUUAUUUGUUUUGACACAGGGUUUUGCUCUGUGUCAGAGUCUGGAGUGCAGUGGCGUGAUCACGGCUCACUGCAGCCUCAAAUCCUGGCUCAAGCGAAUCUUCCACUUCAGCCUCUUGAGUAUCUGGGCCUACAGGCACUUGCCAACACUCCCCACUAAUAUUUUAGUUAGUUUGUUUUUUAGAGACACGGUCUCAUAUUGCCUAAGCUGGUGUCAAACUACUGGGCUCCUCCCAUUUCAGCCUCCCAAAGUGCUGGAAUUACAGGCAUGAGCCACAGCGCCCGGCCUAAUGAUUCUAAAAUUAAUAUGGAAAUGCAGAGAACUUAGAAUAGCCAAAACAAUGCUGAAGAAGAACAAGACUGGAGAGCCAACCACCACGAAGUCAUCUCCUUUGAAUAUCCCAUUCCUCAUUGAGGGUGGCUCUCAGCAGCAAAUAACUCAUCAAUCACUUUCUCCAUAUUGUUGUAUAUUAAUUUCUCUCAACGAGGCAGUAAGCAACUUAAAAGCAUAUUCUAGUCACAAACACCUCUUCAGUAGUAAGGCAUAGUGCUUAAAAUCCAAGACUCUCCAGGCAGAUGGGCUUCAUGGCCCCGUUUCUGUAUUUAUUAUCUAACUGACUCUGGCAACUUUCUUCUCUCUGGUUAGUUUCUCCAUCUGCGACAUGGGGCAGCAGUGAUAACGGUGUCCACGUAGAGUGCCUAUGGAGCUUAACUGAAAUAAGAGUGCCUGGCACACAGUAUCUACCUACUUAAUUAUUGUGUUUUGAAUAAACUGACUCCGAGAUCAGAAAGCAGGUAGUUACUGAGAUUAGGUUGAUUGGCACAGGUUAACCUUCACCUUUGACUAUAAAAAUUCCAUUCUGAAACACACUACAAGCUUUGGUUAAGUUUACUUAAUUAGAGUGUUUGGAGCAACGUAGUAAGAUACAGUAGUUGUAGUCAAAGUUAUUUUUCAGAAAAUGACUUGAGACUAGGCUGAAAGCCCUCAAUCUAGUGUUAAGGAGCAUCUCCUAAUAUACUGCCUGAAUGUGUAUUCCCCACUGGGACUCAAGCCCGGACAGAUAGUCCAAUAGACAUUAAAAGGUUGCCUGUCAACGAUAUUGAGCCUUGGGCCCUGGCUCACGCCUGUAAUCCCAAUGACUGGCUAACUCAGGAGGAUCCUUUGAGGUCAGGAACUGGAGACCAGCCUGGGCAACACAGCAAGACCUCCUCUCUACAUAAAAUAAAAUAGCUGGGCAUGGUGGCACACACCUGUGGUCCCAGCUACUCCGGAGGCUGAGGUGAGAGAAUCGCUUGAGGCCAGGAGGUUGAAGUUGCAAGGAGCCGAGAUCAAGCCACUGCACUCCAACCUGGGUGAUAGAGUGAGACCUGACUCAAUGAAUGAAUGAGAAUGAAUGAAUGAAUGAAUGAAGAUAUUGAGUGUUUCCUGUUCCCGGAAUUUCUGGUUUGUAAAACUACCUGGGGCCGAGCACAAUGGUUCACGCCUAUAAUCCCAGCUCCUUGGGAGGCUGAGGUGGGCGGAUCACCUGAGGUCAAGAGUUCAAGACCAGCCUGGCCAACAUGGUGAAACCCCAUCUCUACUUUAAUAAAAAUAAAAAAAUUAGCUGGGUGUGGUGGCAGGUGCCUGUAGUCCCAGUCACUUGGGAGGCUGAGGCAGAAGAAUCGCUUGAACCUGGGAGGUGGAGAGAUGGCGCCAUUGCACUUCAACCUGGGAGACAGAGGGAGACUCUGUCUCAAAACACACACACACACCCCCGGCAGUGGGUAUUAUGGCAGAAGAAACUAAGGCUUUGCGAGGUUCCCGACGGGGAGUCCGCAGCGCGGUGGGGGCGGGGGCGGCCAGACCUCGCGCCUCUGGGCUGUGCUCCUGAGCUCCCGCAGCCCGCGGUCCCAGCGAGGCCUGGGCGUGGAGCGCGGCAGCCGCAGACCCCCGGGAAGACAGGGAUUCAGGGUCCUCAGGUGUUUUUAGGCUCCUGCUCGCCUAGUGACCGAGGGGCUGGCUUUCUCCAGGCCGAGAAGUGUCUCCGGGUUCCCAGAAAGGUACCUAACCGGUUAGAAAAGAGGAGACCCAGCCCGGCGCGGUGGCUCACGCCUGUAAUCCCAGCACUUUGGGA